rnacentral:rRNA from 1 species
GACGAAGGGGCGUAGCGUUGUUCGGUAAUUACUGGGCGGUAAAGACGAGUGUAGGUGGUUGUCACAGUCAGGUGUGAAAGACCUUGAGCUCAACUCAAGAAAUGCACUUGAUACUGGGCGACUAGAGGACCGGAGAGGAUAGUGGAAUUCCCAGUGUAGUGGUGAAAUACGUAGAGAUUGGGAAGAACACCAGUGGCGAAGGCGGCUAUCUGGACGGUUUCUGACACUAAGACUCGAAAGCGUGGGGAGC